rnacentral:rRNA from 1 species
ACUCAAAGGAAUAGACGGGGGCCCGCACAAGCAGCGGAGCAUGUGGUUUAAUUCGAAGCAACGCGAAGAACCUUACCUAGACUUGACAUCUCCUGCAUUACCCUUAAUCGGGGAAGUUCCUUCGGGAACAGGAAGACAGGUGGUGCAUGGUUGUCGUCAGCUCGUGUCGUGAGAUGUUGGGUUAAGUCCCGCAACGAGCGCAACCCUUAUUGUUAGUUGCUACCAUUUAGUUGAGCACUCUAGCGAGACUGCCCGGGUUAACCGGGAGGAAGGUGGGGAUGACGUCAAAUCAUCAUGCCCCUUAUGUCUAGGGCUACACACGUGCUACAAUGGCAAGUACAAAGAGAAGCAAGACCGCGAGGUGGAGCAAAACUCAAAAACUUGUCUCAGUUCGGAUUGUAGGCUGAAACUCGCCUACAUGAAGCUGGAGUUGCUAGUAAUCGCGAAUCAGCAUGUCGCGGUGAAUACGUUCCCGGGCCUUGCACACACCGCCCGU